UAGGGAAUCUUCCACAAUGGACGCAAGUCUGAUGGAGCAACGCCGCGUGAGUGAAGAAGGGUUUCGGCUCGUAAAGCUCUGCUGUUAAAGAAGAACGUGGGUAAGAGUAACUGUUUACCCAGUGACGGUAUUUAACCAGAAAGCCACGGCUAACUACGUGCCAG
rnacentral:rRNA from 1 species